rnacentral:rRNA from 1 species
GACGAACGCUGGCGGCGUGCCUAAUACAUGCAAGUUGAGCGCUGAAGGUUGGUACUUGUACCGACUGGAUGAGCAGCGAACGGGUGAGUAACGCGUGGGGAAUCUGCCUUUGAGCGGGGGACAACAUUUGGAAACGAAUGCUAAUACCGCAUAAAAACUUUAAACACAAGUUUUAAGUUUGAAAGAUGCAAUUGCAUCACUCAAAGAUGAUCCCGCGUUGUAUUAGCUAGUUGGUGAGGUAAAGGCUCACCAAGGCGAUGAUACAUAGCCGACCUGAGAGGGUGAUCAGCCACAUUGGGACUGAGACACGGCCCAAACUCCUACGGGAGGCAGCAGUAGGGCAUCUUCGGCAAUGGACGAAAGUCUGACCGAGCAACGCCGCGUGAGUGAAGAAGGUUUUCGGAUCGUAAAACUCUGUUGGUAGAGAAGAACGUUGGUGAGAGUGGAAAGCUCAUCAAGUGACGGUAACUACCCAGAAAGGGACGGCUAACUACGUG